rnacentral:rRNA from 1 species
CAAAGUCAUGGUUAAGUGGGAAACGAUGUGGGAAGGCCCAGACAGCCAGGAUGUUGGCUUAGAAGCAGCCAUCAUUUAAAGAAAGCGUAAUAGCUCACUGGUCGAGUCGGCCUGCGCGGAAGAUGUAACGGGGCUAAACCAUGCACCGAAGCUGCGGCAGCGACACUAUGUGUUGUUGGGUAGGGGAGCGUUCUGUAAGCCUGUGAAGGUGUGCUGUGAGGCAUGCUGGAGGUAUCAGAAGUGCGAAUGCUGACAUAAGUAACGAUAAAGCGGGUGAAAAGCCCGCUCGCCGGAAGACCAAGGGUUCCUGUCCAACGUUAAUCGGGGCAGGGUGAGUCGACCCCUAAGGCGAGGCCGAAAGGCGUAGUCGAUGGGAAACAGGUUAAUAUUCCUGUACUUGGUGUUACUGCGAAGGGGGGACGGAGAAGGCUAUGUUGGCCGGGCGACGGUUGUCCCGGUUUAAGCGUGUAGGCUGGUUUUCCAGGCAAAUCCGGAAAAUCAAGGCUGAGGCGUGAUGACGAGGCACUACGGUGCUGAAGCAACAAAUGCCCUGCUUCCAGGAAAAGCCUCUAAGCAUCAGGUAACAUCAAAUCGUACCCCAAACCGACACAGGUGGUCAGGUAGAGAAUACCAAGGCGCUUGAGAGAACUCGGGUGAAGGAACUAGGCAAAAUGGUGCCGUAACUUCGGGAGAAGGCACGCUGAUAUGUAGGUGAAGCGACUUGCUCGUGGAGCUGAAAUCAGUCGAAGAUACCAGCUGGCUGCAACUGUUUAUUAAAAACACAGCACUGUGCAAACACGAAAGUGGACGUAUACGGUGUGACGCCUGCCCGGUGCCGGAAGGUUAAUUGAUGGGGUUAGCGCAAGCGAAGCUCUUGAUCGAAGCCCCGGUAAACGGCGGCCGUAACUAUAACGGUCCUAAGGUAGCGAAAUUCCUUGUCGGGUAAGUUCCGACCUGCACGAAUGGCGUAAUGAUGGCCAGGCUGUCUCCACCCGAGACUCAGUGAAAUUGAACUCGCUGUGAAGAUGCAGUGUACCCGCGGCAAGACGGAAAGACCCCGUGAACCUUUACUAUAGCUUGACACUGAACAUUGAGCCUUGAUGUGUAGGAUAGGUGGGAGGCUUUGAAGUGUGGACGCCAGUCUGCAUGGAGCCGACCUUGAAAUACCACCCUUUAAUGUUUGAUGUUCUAACGUUGACCCGUAAUCCGGGUUGCGGACAGUGUCUGGUGGGUAGUUUGACUGGGGCGGUCUCCUCCUAAAGAGUAACGGAGGAGCACGAAGGUUGGCUAAUCCUGGUCGGACAUCAGGAGGUUAGUGCAAUGGCAUAAGCCAGCUUGACUGCGAGCGUGACGGCGCGAGCAGGUGCGAAAGCAGGUCAUAGUGAUCCGGUGGUUCUGAAUGGAAGGGCCAUCGCUCAACGGAUAAAAGGUACUCCGGGGAUAACAGGCUGAUACCGCCCAAGAGUUCAUAUCGACGGCGGUGUUUGGCACCUCGAUGUCGGCUCAUCACAUCCUGGGGCUGAAGUAGGUCCCAAGGGUAUGGCUGUUCGCCAUUUAAAGUGGUACGCGAGCUGGGUUUAGAACGUCGUGAGACAGUUCGGUCCCUAUCUGCCGUGGGCGCUGGAGAACUGAGGGGGGCUGCUCCUAGUACGAGAGGACCGGAGUGGACGCAUCACUGGUGUUCGGGUUGUCAUGCCAAUGGCACUGCCCGGUAGCUAAAUGCGGAAGAGAUAAGUGCUGAAAGCAUCUAAGCACGAAACUUGCCCCGAGAUGAGUUCUCCCUGACUCCUUGAGAGUCCUGAAGGAACGUUGAAGACGACGACGUUGAUAGGCCGGGUGUGUAAGCGCAGCGAUGCGUUGAGCUAACCGGUACUAAUGAACCGUGAGGCUUAACCUU